AUUGAACGCUGGCGGCAGGCUUAACACAUGCAAGUCGAGCGGGGUGAUGGUGCUUGCACUAUCACUUAGCGGCGGACGGGUGAGUAAUGCUUAGGAAUCUGCCUAUUAGUGGGGGACAACAUCUCGAAAGGGAUGCUAAUACCGCAUACGUCCUACGGGAGAAAGCAGGGGAUCACUUGUGACCUUGCGCUAAUAGAUGAGCCUAAGUCGGAUUAGCUAGUUGGUGGGGUAAAGGCCUACCAAGGCGACGAUCUGUAGCGGGUCUGAGAGGAUGAUCCGCCACACUGGGACUGAGACACGGCCCAGACUCCUACUGGAGGCAGCAGUGGGGAAUAUUGGACAAUGGGGGGAACCCUGAUCUAGCCAUGCCGCGUGUGUGAAGAAGGCCUUAUGGUUGUAAAGCACUUUAAGCGAGGAGGAGGCUCUUUUGGUUAAUACCCAAGAUGAGUGGACGUUACUCGCAGAAUAAGCACCGGCUAACUCUGUGCCAGCAGCCACCGUAA
rnacentral:rRNA from 1 species